GCCUUUAUGGUGUAACGGUAGCACACUCGGCCUGUAUUCGAGAAGUCCAGGUUCGAGUCCAAGCGAGGGCA
rnacentral:tRNA from 1 species